rnacentral:pre_miRNA from 1 species
CACAUACUCCCUCCGUCCGAAAAUACUUGUCCUCAAAAUGAUUGUAUCUAGACUUAUUUUAGUUAUAGAUACAUUCAUUUUAUCCAUUUCGAGGACAAGUAUUUCCGGACGGAGGUAGUACGAU